CAUCGAUCAUUAAUGCACCAAUGUAUACCAUCGAAUUGUUUGUUAUUUGCUCGAUGUAUAGCCAUCGUAAUGCAUCCGCUCUGGUCCUGGAUUCCUCCAGCAUAAGCCGCAGUUGUCCCGCGAGCCAGCACCAAUAUAGGCAGCAUUUUAGAACAUGUUGCAUCUUGUACCCAACUUGGGCACAUGUCGAACUAUGAGAAAAUAUUGUCCAGCUCGCUCGGUCCCCUCCAGCGCAGGCAAAACAUUAACUGUUCUUCUCCACACACCGCAACACCCUCCACCCCACCUACCAGAAACGCUCUCGGCGGCGGCGUAGAUCAAGGUGUGAAGUUUCCCCCCACUGCCCCCCGUCGCCGGCAAGGAAGCUCUCCUUGGCAACCACCCCCGAUAUAUCCGAUGCUUGCAGUCCCGUUUUGAACGCUCCAGAUCGUUCAGUUCAGCGAAAGGAUGCCCAGCCGCAUCAACGCCGUCACAGAGCCACAAAAUGACGAUGUAUCGAGCCCAAUAUCUGUCACAGUGCAAGAUUCGUCCAGGUCCACGCUAGCCGAUGCAACUCUUACAUCUCGCAUAUCAAUUCAGAAGUUCUGUUGCGUCGUAUCCCAGUUUAGUAACUUCAAGCGCGGGCUAGUUACUGAGACUGGUUUCGGAGGGCUGAUGCAUUUGAAAAUUACACACAAGCUCAAUUUGAAAUGCAGUUCGUUGUUGAUGUUCAGAGUAGAUCCACACGAAUGCGUGUUAGAAUUGGAUCAAUCAAGGAGAAUCCCAAUCACUGACCAAGACGUAAAUGAUGUUUUUGGGUUACCACAAGGAAGUAGGAUCAUCCCUCCAGGACAUUCAGAUCUAUCUGAAGUUUUUUAUAGAGUUCAGCACACUGGCUUCAAGCAUCAGCACGAAAGGCGUUCAUAGUUUGAAGGCCGCUGAAUUUAUUUUAUCAAAACCACUAGAUGAGACUUCAAGCAAAGUUGAAUGUGAAUGCUUUAAGAUAGCAUUUGUGAUCUUCUCAGUUGGCCAUGUCCUAAACCCAUGUGUGAAGCACGAUUACACCAGUGUUGAUUACUGGGCAGCACUAGUUGUCCCGUCAGAGAUGAAUUCCUACAACUGGUGUAGGUUAGUGAAGGACAGUUUGAUGAAAGGCGUCAGGAAGAUCAAGUCCGACAUCGCUAAUUGCAAUACCACUAUUCACAUAGUUGGAUGUCACCUUCUACUUCAGGUAAUUGCUUUGGACAAGAUUGAAAAAUCAAGCAGGCACAUCGCACAGAAUAUCCUUCCUCGUGUCAAAGUUUUCGAUCACGAGUCAGUUAAGAAGGCAAUUGACUCGAUUACAUCCCACCAAGGACAAGAAGUUAUUUAUGCAGGAUCAGAAUGUGUUCUCAAUGAGAUUGGAUCUUGGGGAUGGUCGUUUUAUGGAUGUAAACGCACGAGAAGUACGUAGAAUUCUUGGUCUAGUUGGAGGUGGUGGUCGGACUCGUGUUUUGCGUAGGAUGUGUUUGCGUAAUAGGCUAGAGGUGCUUGAGAGAGUGCACGAACUGCUUGGGAAUGAUUAUGCAAAGUGUGCAUCGAUUUCUAUUUUGCGUUUGAAGAAGAUUCUUCAAAAUGCAAGAAGAGAAGAACUCACUCCGGCAGUUAGGAGGAAAAUUAAAGUCGCACAUACCAUGCUAGCAUUCUCAACAUUUCUAGCUCCACAAGAUCCAUAUGCAAAGGUAGCGGACGAGAUUCUGUACAUGGUACAGUAUCCGGAUGAAAUAGACAAGUACAAUGUCACCGAGUACAUCAUAGAGAGUCUCAGGCAUGGGACUAGACAUGCGCGCCGCAGCCUCGAGCGUGGGCACGCAAGAAUCGUCAUAGAAGGAUGCAUGCUAAUUCCACAGAUACUGUUUUGCGAGUCUUGCGAAUACUUGCCAAGCGAUAUCGCCACCCUAGCAGAACCGCAGAUCGCUGCCUACGGCCAGUCCAGACUAAAAAGAAUCAUCAGGCGUUAUGCACCACCUGAGAUUUACUGUGGGCUUCGGGUGAGGGGGCAAGAACAUUCGGAUAGCAGCAUGGGCGCUGGUGGUGGGGAUGGAACGGUACCAGCUGAGAUGCAUAGCUCUGAUGCUGAACAUGACAGCGACGCUGCAAGUACUGGAGGGGGGGGGGGUGGGUGGACCACCAGCUCUGGAUAUGGAUGCUUUCAAAAAUAUGAUCAAUGGUAUAGCUGAGAGAGUGCUGUAGAAGGAGAUGGCAAGGAUUGAUGCCGAUACUGACUCAAAGUUGAUGGCCCUCGCCAAGGAACUAGAAGUUUCUGAGAUGCGUACCAGAUGUCUGCGUUCUCAAAUGGACGCAGUCAUAGCUGAAGGCAACCGCAGGCGCAUGCAUAUGUUUACAUGAAGAGGGAGAAUGCCGGCAGCUGGAAUUCUGGGCUAGAAAAGGAGCAAAUAUUAGAGACCUAUUCCGCACAACUCCAAAAGUCCUGAAACUCCACGAAAGUCAGUUUCUGAAUAUAUUAAAAAUAUUGGGCGAAGAAAGCACCAGAGGGGGGGUCACCCACUGUCCACAAGGGUGGAGGGCGCGCCCUACCCCCCCUGGGCGCGCCCCCUGCCUCGUGGGCUACCUGGAAGCCCCUGAUGCCCAUAUUCUGAUAUACGGUGUCUUUUUCCCUGAAAAAAGAAGAAGGAAGCUUUUGGGACGAAGCGCCGCCGUCUUGAGGCGGAACCUUGGCGGAACAAAUCUAGGGCUCCGGCGGAGCUGUUCUGCCGGGGAAACAUCCCUCCGGGAGGGGGAAAAUCGUCACCAUCGUCAUCACCAUCGAU